AAAUAUAUCAAAAUUGAAAAGAAUCACCACUAUCUAAUUUUCAAAAAUUCCCAAAACUUUGUAUUACCUUUAACCAACUCUGAACUCGCAAACAGGAGUCUGGAAAGACAGACCCCCCUCAAAAACAAAAACAAAAAAUCAUUUAAAGUGAGCCAUAAGAUCAAAAGUUUGAAAAGAUAAACAUCAAAGAUUGAAGAGCGCCAUCUAAACGCCAACGCCAACAACUUCGUGUACAUGUAUAUCCUCUGAUCUGAGCCAAAUCUGCUAUAUCUCAAAGACAGCAGGAUGUUUCGAUUCUUUGCUAACAGUUUGAUGAAUAGAUAAACAUCUGAAAGGAGAGAUGCAUGUAUAAACACUUUUGGAGCAAAAUGAAUCUGGGCUUUGUUUGAUAAAACCCGAGAGGAAGGACACUAAAUCUUCAAACAAGGAAUGAAUCGAAUCUUCAAUAGAAUACACAGAGCUUCACUACAAUACAACCACAGCCCACUCAGUCAGUGAGUGAUAUCAGUGUCUACUGACUGGUGACCUCAUAACCCUAUUGUGUCAAGCCGCCAGUCAGGAUCCCUCUGUAUGGGCAACGUGCAAGAAAGGAUCACCAGUCGGUCACUGCUCAAGUAGCUAUUAGCAGUGCUGUGUAAUAUUGGAGAGCGAGGUAGAGAGAACCAGAGAGGA